AACCUCUUUCAGCACAGACGAAGCGCAAGGACGGUAGUGCAGAAGAAGCACCGGCCAACUACGUGCCAGCAGCCGCGGUAAUACGUAGGGUGCGAGCGUUGUCCGGAAUUAUUGGGCGUAAAGGGCUCGUAGGCGGUUUGUCGCGUCGGGAGUGAAAACGCCGUGCUUAACACGGCGCUUGCUUUCGAUACGGGCAGACUAGAGGUAUGCAGGGGAGAACGGAACUCCUGGUGUAGCGGUGAAAUGCGCAGAUUUCAGGAGGAACACCGGUGGCGAAGGCGGUUCUCUGGGCAUUACCUGACGCUGAGGAGCGAAAGUGUGGGGAGCGAACAGGAAUAGAUACCCUGGUUGUCCACACCGUAAACGUUGGGCGCUAGGUGUGGGGCCUAUUCCAUGGGUUUCGUGCCGCAGCUUACGCAUUAAGCGCCCCGCCUGGGGAGUACGGCCGCAAGGCUAAAACUCAAAGGAAUUGACGGGGGCCCGCACAAGCGGCGGAGCAUGCGGAUUAAUUCGAUGCAACGCGAAGAACCUUAUCUGGGUUUGACAUACACCGGAAAGUCUCAGAGAUGAGGCUCUCAUUUGUCGGU
rnacentral:rRNA from 1 species